rnacentral:lncRNA from 1 species
CAUGGAAUGUAUUGUUAUGUACAGAUUUAAAAAAAAGCACCAUGGAAUGUAUUGUUAUGUACAGAUAAAUAAGGACACAGAACAACAUGGAGGUGCUGGAACAUAGGAAAUCAACUACAGCAAAAAAUUGACAUAAACCUAAUAAAUGUCUAUAUUUAUAAGAAGAAGAAUGCUAGUGACUAAAAUGAAAUCAAUUAUGAACAAGACUCGAAUUUUAGGUAUUAAACAAAUGCAGAAAUCAUGUAUUUGAUGCUUAGAGGUGUUGGAGGACAAGAACUAAAAGCCAAAUAUAUCAGUAUAUUGCUUCCUGUACGAAUCGAAUAAAGCGCCACGGGCUGUACAAUACCAUUUCAACUGGUAACUAAAUAAUUAAUAGGGAGUGCAUGGAUCAGCAAAAACUUGGAAUUUCAUGCUCAUACAUCAAUAGACCUGCCUUAUAUACACCACUGGGUCGGUUUUGUGGAAUUAAAAUUUAUAUUAUGCAAACAUAAAAGGGAGUCCAAAGAUUUGUAAAGGGGUUGCAGUGACCAUUGAUAGCAACAAGUGUUGCUAAUCAAAGUAAAAUAUAAUAAGGGGGCUGGUAAAACAGACUAGGAUUCUAUAUUCAUAGUCAUAUAAUUUUACUGGUAGAAUCUUUUUGAAAAUCACGUCAGAAUAAUCCAAGGCUCCGUCUACCUUGUGUCAUUUGAUUGAAAAAAUGUCCAAUUAACUUGUAAACCUUGAUGAGGACUUGCAUACUGAUACAGGGGGAGUAGAAAACGUCGGUGGCAUAUUCACUAAUUACCUCAAAGAAACGGCUGGACAUGAGAAAAAGAAUGUGACAAUACUGUGAACAGCUGCCAUUAUCAACACAUCACUGGUAAUCAUUUAUGUCGAUGAUCGUAUUGGCUGCCUUAAAUGACACAGUACUUCCGUUCUCUCUCAAGUUAGCCAUAGACAAGUGCUACGUUAACCUACGAAGAAGGAACCAUCACCACCAUCAAAGUUUACAAUUGCCAUUAUCACAUGUUAAGCACUCCCAGAAAACAAAACUACACAGUAUUCUAAGACUAUUGACACUAACUUAAUUGCUACGUGAACAGCAAAAUUCAGCCCGACACCAACUGAAAAUGGCUGAUGUAAAUAAUCUCAUUUUAAACUCCACUUCUAUAAUAAUUAAAAAACAUCAACGCUAACAAUAAAACAAACUACUUACUUGGGAAGCUUCUUAAACAGAUGCAAGCUAAAAUAGAUCCACCACCAAAAUUAGCAAUCUGCAAAGUGAUCCCACCCCUCCACCCCUAACUGUGAAAGCACGAAAGUGAGCUUCGCAUUUGCUUCACCACUUAGAAACCGAACCAGC